rnacentral:rRNA from 1 species
AUUGAACGCUGGCGGCGUGCUUAACACAUGCAAGUCGAUCGGUAACAGGUGUAGCAAUACAUGCUGACGAGAGGCGGACGGGUGAGUAAUGCUUGGGAAUCUGCCUAUUAGUGGGGGACAACCCGGGGAAACUCGGGCUAAUACCGCAUACGCUCUACGGAGGAAAGCCGGGGACCGCAAGGCCUGGCGCUAAUAGAUGAGCCCAAGUCGGAUUAGCUAGUUGGUAGGGAACGGCCUACCAAGGCGACAAUCCGUAGCUGGUCUGAGAGGACGACCAGCCACACCGGAACUGAGACACGGUCCGGACUCCUACGGGAGGCAGCAGUGGGGAAUAUUGAACAAUGGGGGCAACCCUGAUCCAGCGACGCCGCGUGGGUGAAGAAGGCCUGCGGGUUGUAAAGCCCUUUCGGUGGGGAAGAAAAGUCUCGACCUAUACGUCGGGACCUUGCGUAACCCACUAAAGAAGCACCGGCUAACUCUGUGCCAGCAGCCGCUGU